GUGUAGUAAACAGAUUUUAAGAAUCGUUUAAAUAUUUUACAUUCAAUUUUUACGUUUUAUUUUUAAUCUUUUCUCUGUUAGAUUUGUUGAUUUUUUUAACUUUUUCAGUUAUUGUUAAGGGUUGAAUUUGAUAAAAGGCAAAUAUAUGAAACCAUUGGUAUAAAUUUUAGCUAAUUUUUUUUAUUUUCUUUUUUCUCUGAAUUCAUUUAGACAAAUUAUGAUGACCACUACUUCCUUUGAAGAAAAAAAGAAUAGAUUCACACUUUUUCCCGCUACUAUAUUAAAUUUAUUUCACAUUUCAUUACUAUAGAGAUAUUUUUGUUGAGCAGAGUUCAUAUCAAUCAUCGGAGCUUUUUGCACCAUGAAACAUGUAAUUGUAGUUAAAUGUAAUAAAGGCAACAUUUCAUCAAAUGAUUCACUUUUGUUCAAACCAAACUGCUAUCAUGUACAUGUAUUUCCUUUUUAGCUUUCCCCUUUUUAACUGUUUUAUAAAUCAGUGUAUUGUUUAUGCAUUUUAUCGUUUUUUAAUCAUUUCUGGUAUUUACUUGAUGUGUACUGGAAAAAAAAAAGAAAGAAGACAAGGAAAAAACAAGCUAAAGAUUACACAUUGAUAUAAAAUUCUUAUGCACGUACAUAUCCACACGACUCAUCGGCGAUCUCUUCUGUACUAGGCUCCAAACGAACACACCGUAAACAAUAAUGACAAACCGACACAGGUGUUGAUGGGAUGAUUUUAGGUUCUGUUGGUGGUUGUAACUCCAGUGUUACCGACCCCACUUCGUGACACGGUAGAAAACUGCAGAGCUGUGUUACCACACCUGACUCUAUUACACCGUUCUAUUUCUUCACUACUGCGAAAAAUGUUAAAGCAAGACAAUCUUCCAUUAUCCUACAUAAUACCAAAUAACAGAUGUCCGGUAUCAAGACAGCUCGAUUCAUUCGAGAACUUACCUUUGGUCAUACAUCGGAUGGAAAUUUUCAUGUUGUUUUUGCACGAGGAAGAAAUACUUAAAACUAGCCGAGGAGAGGUGCCGCAUGAUUUUUCGCCGUUCAUAUCCAGGUUCA